UACGUAGGGGGCAAGCGUUGUCCGGAAUCAUUGGGCGUAAAGAGCGCGUAGGCGGUCCGGUAAGUCCGCUCUGAAAGCCCGGGGCUCAACCCCGGGAGGCGGGCGGAUACUGUCGGGCUAGAGUCCGGAAGAGGAGAGUGGAAUUCCCGGUGUAGCGGUGAAAUGCGCAGAUAUCGGGAAGAACACCCGUGGCGAAGGCGGCUCUCUGGGACGGUACUGACGCUGAGACGCGAAAGCGUGGGGAGCAAACAGGG
rnacentral:rRNA from 1 species